CAGGCCCAACUUUGGUUUUAAUCUGCUAAUAACUUAAUAAAAUGCAUAGGGAAUAGCUGCCCCGAGGAAUUAAUCAACAACCCGGGCCAGUGCUCCUCAUGAGUGUUGGUCCAAACCGGGCGAUGUCCGGCGCCCCCUGGUCACCCAAGGUUUAGCCAACCCGACGUCCUGCCCAUCCGUCGUGUCCUGAGAACGAGAUACGCGGCUCCUAUCGGGUUCGUCGACACGACGGGCGGCCUUGCUGGAUU
rnacentral:lncRNA from 1 species